rnacentral:misc_RNA from 1 species
UCGUGGAGGAGGACGCCGAAGGUGGGGCUAAUGACUGGGGUGAAGUCGUAACAAGGUAGCCGUACCGGAAGGUGCGGCUGGAUCACCUCCUAACAGGGAGACAACAAAAUGUUAAAUAUUAAUUUUGUCACCUUAGGUCGAUCGGUAUCUCACAUUCUUAAUUGAUUUAAGAAUUUUAUUUCCUAAGUUUUUCUAGGUCACACCCAUCAUUUUUCCUGGGCCAUUAGCUCAGGUGGUUAGAGCGCACCCCUGAUAAGGGUGAGGUCCCUGGUUCAAGUCCAGGAUGGCCCAUAUCUCUAUGUUGGGGGUAUAGCUCAGUUGGUAGAGCGCCUGCUUUGCAAGCAGGAUGUCAGCGGUUCGAGUCCGCUUACCUCCACUGAUUACCACCUCUUCCAUGAUUUAUAGAAGGGAAAUUUUGAGAUGUGAUCAAAUUCUGAACGAAUCUAGCUUCCUAAUUGAACUUAUUAAGAUGCUGGACUCAUUGAAUUAUUUUCAUUGUUUUCAGAGAACCUUGACAACUGCGUAGAUUAUUUUUAAAGACAAUAAGCAUCUUUAUGAUGCAGAUUUAUUAUUUGUGCGAAUGCAUUAAUAACAAUUCUAUUAAGCUGAUGCUUCAAUUAUGAAGUUAUUGGUCAAGCUACAA